AUUGAACGCUGGCGGCAGGCCUAACACAUGCAAGUCGAGCGAGCGGCGGACGGGUGAGUAAUGUAUGGGGACUGCCCGAUAGAGGGGGAUAACUACUGGAAACGGUAGCUAAUACCGCAUACUAUCGGAUAACCCAUAUGGGAUUAGGUGGUUGGUGGUGUAAUGGCUCACCAAGGCGACGAGGCCUAGCUGGUCUGAGAGGAUGAUCAGCCACUCGGGGACGGAGACACGGCCCAGACUCCUACGGAGGCAGCAGUGGGGAUUAUUGCACAAUGUGCGCAAGCCUGAUGCAGCCAUGCCGCGUGUAUGAAGAAGGCCCUAGGGUUGUAAAGUACUUUCAGUCGGGAGGCGUUACCGGCAGAAGAAGCACCGGCUAACUCCGUGCCAGCAGCCGCGGUAAUUC
rnacentral:rRNA from 1 species